rnacentral:snoRNA from 1 species
AGGCAGCCCCUUUGUCCGAUUACAAUGGCAAUGGAGGUGUUGCGUUGCUCGGAGAUUGAUUCUUCUGCUCUUCAGAUUAGCUGAGGGGAAAGGCUUUGCCUUUUCUCACUGAAGCUUGUCUAGUAGUCUUAAGAACAUU